rnacentral:rRNA from 1 species
GACGAACGCUGGCGGCGUGCCUAAUACAUGCAAGUAGAACGCACAGUUUAUACCGUAGCUUGCUCCACCAUAGACUGUGAGUUGCGAACGGGUGAGUAACGCGUAGGUAACCUGCCUGGUAGCGGGGGAUAACUAUUGGAAACGAUAGCUAAUACCGCAUAAUAUUGAUUAUUGCAUGAUAAUUGAUUGAAAGAUGCUAUUGCAUCACUACCAGAUGGACCUGCGUUGUAUUAGCUAGUAGGUGAGGUAACGGCUCACCUAGGCGACGAUACAUAGCCGACCUGAGAGGGGGAUCGGCCACACUGGGACUGAGACACGGCCCAGACUCCUACGGGAGGCAGCAGUAGGGAAUCUUCGGCAAUGGACGAAAGUCUGACCGAGCAACGCCGCGUGAGUGAAGAAGGUUUUCGGAUCGUAAAGCUCUGUUGUAAGAGAAGAACGGGUGUGAGAGUGGAAAGUUCACACUGUGACGGUAUCUUACCAGAAAGGGACGGCUAACUACGUG